rnacentral:rRNA from 1 species
GAUGAACGCUGGCGGCGUGCCUAAUACAUGCAAGUCGAGCGAACAGACGAGGAGCUUGCUCCUCUGACGUUAGCGGCGGACGGGUGAGUAACACGUGGAUAACCUACCUAUAAGACUGGGAUAACUUCGGGAAACCGGAGCUAAUACCGGAUAACAUGUUGAACCGCAUGGUUCAACAGUGAAAGACGGUCUUGCUGUCACUUAUAGAUGGAUCCGCGCCGCAUUAGCUAGUUGAUAAGGUAACGGCUUACCAAGGCAACGAUGCGUAGCCGACCUGAGAGGGUGAUCGGCCACACUGGAACUGAGACACGGUCCAGACUCCUACGGGAGGCAGCAGUAGGGAAUCUUCCGCAAUGGGCGAAAGCCUGACGGAGCAACGCCGCGUGAGUGAAGAAGGUCUUCGGAUCGUAAAACUCUGUUAUUAGGGAAGAACAAAUGUGUAAGUAACUAUGCACGUCUUGACGGUACCUAAUCAGAAAGCCACGGCUAACUACGUG